rnacentral:lncRNA from 1 species
UAAGGUACCAUUGGAAAAGCUGCGUCUAGCUCCCUUUUGAUUGACCGAGAAAGAUUCAAUUGGUAGAGCUUCAUUCUGCACUGACCGUCAACACGUGAUAAUUAAUGAUUCCCAAAGCAGCCAAUCAGUCAUCCGAAUCUUAUAAAGUGCUAAUGUUGGGGGCCGUCCAAGCUUUCUCGAUCAAUCGACCUGUCCAAUUUCCCCUCUCCCCGAUCCAUGCUGUCUUUCGAAUCCUUUCAUCUGGGGCCCAGGAGUCUGCAUUGAAGAACCUGUAGCUAUCUCCAAGCCAAGCCCUCGAAAGAAU